UACGUUCAUCCCUAUGGGACGGAAGUAAGGAAACUGAAGGAACGCACC
rnacentral:ncRNA from 10 species